rnacentral:lncRNA from 1 species
UUGUGCUGAACAUUGGGUAAAGGAACCCAGUCUUGGCCUGGAGUACAGGAGCUCACAGCAACUAUUCUUGCCCCUACACUGUGCCUCUGAGUAUGUUGACUUCAGCUCAUCAUUUGGAGCAGGGCCAACUUAAUUUUUUCCUCAACGGAUAACCAGAAAUUCAAGCUCUGUUUAAGAACUAAACCAUCUUUCCUUUUGGCUGCCACAAAACUAUCCAGACUAAUGGAGACCCAGAAACUCUAGGGCCAAGAAGCUGGGGCUGUGUGAACUACAAUCUAUAGGACCCAGAACUUCUGCCCA